AGGAUGACGCGAGUCUGACCAGCCAAGUAGCGUGAAGGAUGACUGCCCUAUGGGUUGUAAACUUCUUUUAUAAGGGAAUAAAGUGAGGGACGUGUCCCUUUUUGUAUGUACCUUAUGAAUAAGGAUCGGCUAACUCCGUGCCAGCAGCCGCGGUAAUACGGAGGAUCCAAGCGUUAUCCGGAUUUAUUGGGUUUAAAGGGAGCGUAGGUUGACAUAUAAGUCAGCUGUGAAAGUUUACGGCUCAACCGUGAAAUUGCAGUUGAUACUGUAUGUCUUGAGUGUACAAGAGGUGGGCGGAAUUCGUGGUGUAGCGGUGAAAUGCUUAGAUAUCACGAAGAACUCCAAUUGCGAAGGCAGCUCACUGGGGUACAACUGACACUGAGGCUCGAAAGUGUGGGUAUCAAACAGGAUUAGAUACCCUGGUAGUCCACACAGUAAACGAUGAAUACUCGCUGUUUGCGAUAUACAGUAAGCGGCCAAGCGAAAGCAUUAAGUAUUCCACCUGGGGAGUACGCCGGCAACGGUGAAACUCAAAGAAAUUUUGACGG
rnacentral:rRNA from 1 species